GGCGCGUUCGUCUAGAGGCCUAGGACACCGGGUUUUCAUCCCGGGAAUCGCGGGUUCGAAUACCGCACGCGCUACCA
rnacentral:tRNA from 1 species